UCCAGGGAUCGGGUGGCUUAGCAACAAGCAUAUAGGUCUGGAAGAGGGAUGGAGAGGAUACCCCUAGGUACCAAACAGCUACUGGACAUUUCCUCCUGGCCCAGUAUUGUGAUAAAUCACGGACUCCCCUUCAUCUUCCCUACUCCCUCCCUCUUUCCAUCCCUGGGUUCCCUCCAAAAAGCUGUAUGCGAGUAUACCACCGAGAUGCUGAGACGUAGAGAAGAACGGGAAGUUCUCCGGAGAGAGCCAUCUGACUUCCUGUCGCUCCUCGGCCAGCGCGCGCGCGGGCUUUUCUUACCGAGUUAUCUGUUUCAGAUCUUUGCUGAAUGCGGUUGUCUGGGAGUCAGGGGCUGAUGGCCCCGAGACCCCAGGGUCCGGAUCAUGUCCCAAGACCUCUUCCUGUUCCAAGGAGCGACUUUUCCAGCGAACCAGGAGAAGCUGAGUCAUCCUUCCAUUUAGCUGUAUGAAAAAACCAAACCAAAAAAAAAAAAAAACCCAACAUCAUCUAACUUCAUUCGUAGCAAGAAUUGUCAAAUGAGGAGAUACUUUUCCUUCCAGGAGAUUCGAUUGGCAAGACUUCCAGGAUUCCUCAUGACUCCAGCUUGGAGAAAAUUGUGAUGGUGAGGGCAGCCUGCAGGGAAACCCAAUAGAAAAUAAACAGAUACAUGAGUGUCUCAGUCAGAAAAAGUAGUUUAUAUUACAAUUGCUCAUUGAGGUGUCCCCAUGGAGGGGGAGAGAGGCCAAGGAUGGAGUGAAUGUGAGAGCCUAUAGGAAAGGGUGCCCAGAGACGCAACUCAUUCCAUCGAACCUUUGCAUUGAAUUUGGAGUAUUUGAUCUGAAAAAUCAGAAUGAAAUAAAGGAAACAGAUCUGUGUAAUACAUAAGUGUAGUCAAGAAUGAAUCCACAUGGUGACCUGUAUUCCCAAAUGUUCGUGUGUAGCUUUGUCAAUACCUUGUGUCCCUCUGUGUGUGGGGGUGGGGUGGGGGGGUGUGAAUUACAUACUUUAUAGGUGCUCUGGAACUUGGGCUGGUCAUUGCACUGAUCGGAGUCCUUAAGUCUUUCAAAAGUUGUUUGUCUUUACAUGUUUGUUAUCACUAUAUAAAUUGUUGUCCCAGUUCUAUUUACUUUACUCGGCUUCCAGGCUUUCUCUGGAAAUCUCUUUCUUUAUUCCAAAUUGCAUCCCAGUCCCACCUCAUGUUUGAUUCUAGGUUUCAACUAACUAGCUUCCCAGCUAUUCCCAGAACAAAGCACUUCAAAGCUGUGCCUCAGACAUCUUCAGGAUGCAUUUUGUCCUCACCCACUUUUUGUGGCGUGAAGUAAGUAGAACCAGGAAAGCAAUAUAUCCAAUGGGACUACAAUAUUGUUAAUGGAGGAAACCAAAAUCAAAACUGAAUGCUGCCUUGUACCAUCUUGCUUGCCUUCUCAUGAGGUGGAAAAGGGGCAGAAAGAAAGGAAAGAGAUUGGAACGCAACAUUUUUUUAAAUUAAUGUUUAAAAGGUUUUUACAUGUAAUUGGGAAGUAUUUAAUGAAAUAAAUUUUAAAAAAACUGAAUGGUCUGUAAUUAUGACGUCAGGCCUUUCAAAAGAUUUGCAAACAUGCACCUCCUUCCCUUGGCAGAGGUGGGAGAUUUCUAGAUUUGGAGUGCUCAGACUCAGUUGAGAUUUUGGUUAGUUUUGCCUAACUCUUUUUAUUCUUUGUUAUCAGGAUGGUUCUAUACAUGUGGGAGGGGUAAAGUUUAUUUUUCUAAAUGAAGGCAAUGUAAAAAUAAAAGAUAUCAACAGAACUUUCCAAAACAAAUUCCUAACUUUCUUCAAGGCCACAGGUGAUGCUUCCUACUUAGCCUUUCCUGACCUCCCCAAGUUGUAACUGCAAUUACUUUGCUAUCACUUAUUU